AUUGAACGCUGGCGGCAGGCCUAACACAUGCAAGUCGAGCGGUAACACAGGGAGCUUGCUCCCGGGUGACGAGCGGCGGACGGGUGAGUAAUGUCUGGGAAACUGCCUGAUGGAGGGGGAUAACUACUGGAAACGGUAGCUAAUACCGCAUAACGUCGCAAGACCAAAGAGGGGUACCUUCGGGCCUCUUGCCAUCAGAUGUGCCCAGAUGGGAUUAGCUAGUAGGUGGGGUGACGGCUCACCUAGGCGACGAUCCCUAGCUGGUCUGAGAGGAUGCCCAGCCACACUGGAACUGAGACACGGUCCAGACUCCUACGGGAGGCAGCAGUGGGGAAUAUUGCACAAUGGGCGCAAGCCUGAUGCAGCCAUGCCGCGUGUAUGAAGAAGGCCUUCGGGUUGUAAAGUACUUUCAGCGGGGAGGAAGGUGUUGAGGUUAAUAACCUCAGCAAUUGACGUUACCCGCAGAAGAAGCACCGGCUAACUCCGUGCCAGCCGCCGCCUAAAAC
rnacentral:rRNA from 1 species